rnacentral:lncRNA from 1 species
GUUCAAUGAGAAUAGUCAUAUUUGUAUAUAUAUGCCUCAUAAUUUAUAUAGUCAACUCAUUUUGAUCAUUAUAAUAACGUUGUGACAUUAGUAGCAAAAUAUUAUCUCCAAUUUUACCUCUGGGAAAAAUAAGGCAGAUUAAAUACUCAACCAUGGAAUCAGGACUCAUCCUAAUUAAGUCUCAUCCUAAUUAAAUCUUCUAGAAUAAGCCUAAAAUCCUUCUUUUCCCUCUAAAAUUUCAAGACUUGUAUCAAUUUUAGAGCCACUGUUUGUUUCUUUCUGAGAGCCACUGUUUUUAUUUUAUUUAUUUAUUUUUUUGAGACUGAGUUUUGCUUUUAUCGCCCAGGCUGGAGUACAAUGGCGUGAUCUCAGCUCACUGCAACCUCCGCCUCCUGGAUUCAAGUGAUUCUCCUGCUUCAGCUUCCUGAGUAGCUGGGAUUAUAGGUGGCCGCCACCACACCCAGCUAAUUUUUGUGUUUUUAGUAGAGAUGGGUUUUCACCAUGUUUGCAGGCUGGUCUCAAACUCCUGACCUCAGGUGAUCCACCUACCUUGGCCUCCCAAAGUGCUAGGAUUACAGGCAUGAGCCACCACGCCCGGCCGAGAACCACUGUUUUUAAAAAAUUGAGCAAAUUUGGUGAGAUUGAUGAUAAUAUAAUUCGGAAUGAAUACUGAACAUGACUCCUUUUUGGCAAGGGAAGUCAACUAUCAGAAUUGUAACAAAUCACUAUUACACACAGCCUAGUACUUUGCAUAGCAAAGUACAUAAAAGGUACUAAAUAAAUAAUAGGAGUUGUAUUACUCAGGGCAAUUAACACUGACUAUCCCAGCAGUCAGACUCUAAAUCCUCAGUGGUUUAAACAACAAACAUUUAUAUCUCACACAUGUCAUCUAUCUAGCACAGGUUGGCAAGCAGUGAAAGUUCAGUGUUGCUCAACUCCUCACCUUCACUCAGUGCUAUGGUUUGAAUGUUUGUGUCCCCUCCAAAAUUCAUGUAGGAACUUAAUGCCCAAAGUUAUAUUAACUAUUAAAAGGUGGGACCUUUAUGAGGUGAGUAAGUCAUGAGUGCUCCACCCUCAUGAAUGGAAUUAAUGCUUUAUAAGGGAGGCUUUACACAGCAUUUCUCUCUUUUUACCCUUCCAUCCCUUCCACGAUGUGAGGACGAGGAGCCACUGGAAGCACAGACAUCAAACUAGAAUAGACUAGACUAGAUAUCAGACCUAUUGUUGCCUUCAUUUUGGAAAUCUCAGCCUCCAGAACUGUAAAAAAUGCAUUUCUAUUAUUUAUACAUUACCCAUUCUCAGGGUUUUUGUUUGUUUGUUUUUUGUUUUUUUGAGAUAGUCUCGCUUUGUUGCUUAGGCUGGAGUACAGUGGUGCUCACUGCAACCUCCGCCUCCCCGGUUCAAGCAGUUCUUUUGCCUCAGCCUUCCCAGUAGUUGGGAUUACAGGUGUGUGCCACUAUGCCCAGCUAAUUUUUUGUAUUUUUAGUAGAGACAGGGUUUUGCCAUGUUGGCCAGGCUGGUCUCGAACUUCUGGCCUCAGGUGAUCCACCUGCCUCGGCCUCCCAAAGUGCUAGGAUUACAGGCAUGAAUCACCGUGCCCUUUGGGAGGCCAAGAUGGGUGGAUAACCUAUGGUCAGGAGUUCCAGACCAGCCUGGCCAAUAUGGUGAAACCCUAUCUCUACUAAAGUACAAUACUUCCUCAGAUGGAAAUGAGGAAAAUGGUAUUAGAAACUGGAGGAAAAGCCAUUCUUGUGGCAAAGAACUUGACUGAAUUGUUUCUGUGUCCUAACGUUUUAUGAAUGGCAGAACUUGUGAGUGAUGAACCAGGAUAUUUGGCAGAAUUAUCUGAGCAAAGUGUUGAAGGUUCUGCAUGGCUUCUUUUGAUUGCUUAUAGUAAAAUGUAAGAAGGGAGAAAUGAAUUAAAGAUAGAACUAAAAGGGAAGCAGAAGAUUUGGAAACUUCUCAGCCUGGUGUUAAAGAAAAAUCUGAGGCACAAGAGUUUAUUUGAGUGAGAUGCAAUUCAUGAGUUGGGGAACACCAGACUAAAAGAAGUUUAGUGUCCCAAUGAUGAAAUGUCAGGUAUUUAUUGGGAAAAUGGAGAAGCAAAAUAAAUUAUUUGAUUGGCUUCCAAUUACAAAAUUCCUUUUUUUAGGUACUUGUUGGCAAGCCCCUAAUCACAUAAUCAUACUUAUCAUGGCUGGGGUUGAGUUUUAGUUUUGUCUAGCAUGAACCAUCAGAAAUUACCCAACUUAAGUUUUUGCAGUUUAAGCAAGAUUUAGGUUAUUUUUAAGGCCUCUGGUUUUGUCUGCUCAAAAAGUUUUCUGGCCAAGUCUCCAUUUUAAUUUAAACACUGGCAGGGUUGCAAAGCAUAUUUCAGAAAG